UCGAAAUUGGUGUCGUCUAAUAAAUGAACAAAAUUUUUGACCGUCAUAACAGGUGGAUUUUUGGCCGUAGCAAGUUCUCUAUAAGCCAACCCUUCUUGACGACCCCUAAAAAUGGACUUCGCAACUAUGGGAUUCUCCAUAUUCUUAUGAAAAUUUUGAAGUUUUCUUGAAAAUUUGUUUCGAGAUAGAUACCCACGAAUUAAAGAUUGUAACAAUACAAUUUCAGGAAUAAAAGAAUCUAACUGAACUUCAGUAUAAUUCACAUCAUCUCGUAAAAGAAUUGCACGGACUGCAGAUUGCAUAAACACGAUAUCUGGUAAUCGCUUUAACAAAUAGUCGUUACAAUAAUCAAUUUUGGUUCGAGUAAUGAAUCCCCGAUAAAGAGAUUGGGCUUUAAUGACAGAUAGGUGCGAUUUUUGAAAAGAAUCAUAAAUGCUUUCCAAGUUUUUUCUUAAAAGAAAAGCCCGAACAAUUGCCUGUAGAGCAAUGAAAGAGGAUGUUGAUGCUUUUAAUUUCUCCAAUUUC